rnacentral:rRNA from 1 species
GAUGAACGCUGACAGAAUGCUUAACACAUGCAAGUCAACUUGAACUUCGGUUUGGGUGGCGGACGGGUGAGUAACGCGUAAAGAACUUGCCUCACAGAUAGGGACAACAUUUGGAAACGAAUGCUAAUACCUGAUAUUAUGAUUAUAUGGCAUCGUAUAAUUAUGAAAGCUAUAUGCGCUGUGAGAGAGCUUUGCGUCCCAUUAGCUAGUUGGAGAGGUAACGGCUCACCAAGGCGAUGAUGGGUAGCCGGCCUGAGAGGGUGAUCGGCCACAAGGGGACUGAGACACGGCCCUUACUCCUACGGGAGGAAGCAGUGGGGAAUAUUGGACAAUGGACCAAGAGUCUGAUCCAGCAAUUCUGUGUGAAAGAUGAAGUUUUUCGGAAUGUAAAGUGCUUUCAGUUGGGAAGAAAAAAAUGACGGUACCAACAGAAGAAGUGACGGCUAAAUACGUG